GAUGAACGCUAGCUACAGGCUUAACACAUGCAAGUCGAGGGGCAGCAUUAGGUAGCAAUACUGAGAUGGCGACCGGCGCACGGGUGCGUAACGCGUACCCAACCUUCCCGUUACUCUCGGAUAGCCUUCCGAAAGGGAGAUUAAUACGAGAUGGUGUUGAAAUUCCGCAUGUUAUUUCAACUAAAGAUUCAUCGGUAACGGAUGGGGAUGCGUGACAUUAGGUAGAUGGCGGGGUAACGGCCCACCAUGCCUACGAUGUCUAGGGGUUCUGAGAGGAAGGUCCCCCACACUGGAACUGAGACACGGUCCAGACUCCUACGGGAGGCAGCAGUGAGGAAUAUUGGUCAAUGGUCGGAAGACUGAACCAGCCAAGUAGCGUGAAGGAUGAAGGUUCUAUGGAUUGUAAACUUCUUUUAUACGGGAAUAAAACCGCCUACGUGUAGGUGCUUGUAUGUACCGUAUGAAUAAGCAUCGGCUAACUCCGUGCCAGCAGCCGCCGUAAUAC
rnacentral:rRNA from 1 species